UACGUAGGGAGCAAGCGUUGUCCGGAAUCAUUGGGCGUAAAGCGCGCGUAGGUGGCCUCAUAAGUCCGCUGUGAAAGUCAAAGGCUCAACCUUUGAAAGCCGGUGGAUACUGUGAGGCUAGAGUACGGAAGAGGUGAGUGGAAUUCCUGGUGUAGCGGUGGAAUGCGCAGAUAUCAGGAGGAACACCAAUAGCGAAGGCAGCUCGCUGGGACGUUACUGACACUGAGGCGCGAAAGCGUGGGGAGCGAACAGG
rnacentral:rRNA from 1 species